CGGGAAGAGCUCAAAUUUGAAAUCUGGCGUGCUCAGUGCGUCCGAGUUGUAAUCUAUAGAGGCGUUUUCCGUGCCGGACUGUGUCUAAGUCCCUUGGAACAGGGUAUCAAAGAGGGUGAUAAUCCCGUACUUGACACAAUGACCGGUGCUCUGUGAUACGUCUUCUACGAGUCGAGUUGUUUGGGAAUGCAGCUCAAAAUGGGUGGUGAGUUCCAUCUAAAGCUAAAUAUUGGCGAGAGACCGAUAGCGAACAAGUACCGUGAGGGAAAGAUGAAAAGCACUUUGGAAAGAGAGUUAAACAGUACGUGAAAUUGUUGAAAGGGAAACGAUUGAAGUCAGUCGUGACUGAGAGGCUCAGCCGGUUCUGCCGGUGUAUUCCCCUCAGUCGGGUCAACAUCAGUUUUGUUCGGUGGAUAAGGGCAGCUGGAAGGUGGCACCUCCGGGUGUGUUAUAGCCAGCUGUCGCAUACAUCGAAUGAGACUGAGGAAUGCAGCUCGCCUUUAUGGCCGGGGUUCGCCCACGUCCGAGCUUAGGAUGUUGACAUAAUGGCUUUAAACGACCCGU
rnacentral:rRNA from 1 species